UACGUAGGGGGCUAGCGUUGUCCGGAAUCAUUGGGCGUAAAGCGCGUGUAGGCGGUCCGGUAAGUCCGCUGUGAAAGUCGGGGGCUCAACCGUCGGAUGCCGGUGGAUACUGUCGGGCUUGAGUACGGAAGAGGCGAGUGGAAUUCCUGGUGUAGCGGUGAAAUGCGCAGAUAUCAGGAGGAACACCAAUUGCGAAGGCAGCUCGCUGGGACGUUACUGACGCUGAGACGCGAAAGCGUGGGGAGCAAACAGG
rnacentral:rRNA from 1 species